rnacentral:rRNA from 1 species
UGGUAGUGUAUUGGACAACCAUGGCUUUCACGGGUAACGGAGGAUUAGGGUUCGAUUCCGGAGAGGGAGCCUGAGAAACGGCUACCACUUCUACGGAGAGCAGCAGGCGCGUAAAUUACCCAAUCCUGAUUCAGGGAGGUAGUGACAAGAAAUAAUGGGUCGGAGUUUAUUCUCCGGGACUGCAAUGGGACGAAUCUAGACCCUUUUUCGAGGAUCAAUUGGAGGGCAAGUCUGGUGCCAGCAGCCGCGGUAAUUCCAGCUCCAAUAGCGUAUAUUAAAGUUGUUGCAGUUAAAAAGCUCGUAGUUGGAUUUCUGGUGUAUUGCCAAGAUAACCUUUUCUAGGUGAUCGAAGCAUAUGCCAUCCUUCUGUUAAAUUUACCGACUGUCAAAGGUCAGUGAACGGCGCAGAUAUUUUACCUUGAGAAAAUUAGAGUGUUUCAGGCAGGCUUGUGCCCGGAUACAUUAGCAUGGAAUAAUAGAACAGGACUUUAGCCUCUUCUGUUGGUCUGGGGGGUUGAAGUAAUGAUUAAUAGGGAUAGUUGGGGGCAUUAGUACUUAACUGUCAGAGGUGAAAUUCUCGGAUUUGUUAAAGACUAACUUAUGCGAA